AUAUUUCUCCCUUCUAGAUCACCCGAGCAGCUAGUUGGUAUCCAUUACUGAAAGUAGAGCAACAAUGACAAUAGCAGAGACAAUAGUUAACCAACCAAUAGAGAAAAAGUAGCUCUUAGAGAGAGGAAACCCUGGAAAGAAAGAGCCCAUUCACAUGGAUCAGGCUAGGCUCAGUGGAGCCAAGUCUACUUUCUCUAUAAACCCAUUUGGGACUAGCAUGCUAGGGACCAAGUACAGGCAUCCCUCAGAGAUACUGUGAAUUUGGUUCCAGAUUGCUGCAAUAAAGUGAAUUUUGCAAUAAACUCUGCCCCCAAAUAAAGACUUUCAUCCGGAGCUGGCAUUCUUGUUCUGAUGAUUACAAUAGCAAGGCGGAGAGGUGGGACUGAAUCUGUUGUACAAACUAACAACCUAAUGAAGAUCUAAAUUUGCUCGUUAUCCCUUGAAACAGCAGUUAGGAGGUACAGAGGGGAAGGGAUAUUGUUGUUCUUUUGCUCACUCGGCAAGGAGAAGGAAGCAAUUUAAAUAAAAUAUCUGACAAAUAAACUGGUGGGAAUUUGUCAGAAGUGUGUUCGCUGGCUCUGCUGGAAGUCUGGAAGGAGGCUCGAGUGCUGGUAAUG